rnacentral:lncRNA from 1 species
CAUCUAUAGUUUCAUUUUUUUAUAAUUGUCACUCUCAUCACUGCUUACUAAUGUAUGCAGUGAUGCUUGGCUACUAUCACAAAGGAAAAAAGACUGCUCUGCUCUACAUUCCAUUUCUCCCUUUUUGAAGGAUAUUACAAUGCCUGCUUUAAGGGUAGUAGGUCUACUAGCUUUAAAUGCUUGCAAAACAGACUUCUGCAAGUCAGUAAGGUUUCUAGGUCUCCAUUAUAGCAGAUACAGUCAGUUGAGAUUAGGAUGCAACCAUCUUACCAAAUGUAGGUAUCUAUGUCACAGUGAAAACAAUAAAUCUCUGCAGGCCACGGAUGGCAUUGAAUGGGUUUGCACUGAAUAAAAUGAAGAUCUAGAUACUUGGCUGGGAUGUUACACCUACACUGGACAUACAGUGAGUACAUUCUACAGCAUGAUCUUUAUGGUAAACAGUAUCCUAGUAACAGAAGUAAUUGGCUGUUGAACUCAGAAAAAAAUAUUAUUUUGCACUGUAUUUCGAACAAAGAGAAAAGCUGGAGGCAAGAUUACAAAUACCGGAUGGACACAGCCUGCAAGUAUGGACUAGGAAAGGUUGGAAAGGUAAACACCUGGUCUUUAAAACAUAUUAGUUGUUAGAUUUUUGCUUUAGAGUAAAUUAAAGAUAUUAACAGGUGUAAAUUGUUAUACAUGAAUCAAUCUGUGUAUCUUUUGUUGGGGAAGGGUCUCAUCCAGCAAAGUUCAUGAACACGGUAGAAUGACUAAGAUGAUAGUUAAAUUGCAGUCCUGUGUUUAAGCGCCUUGCUGAACUAGGAUCUUGCUGCUCAUGUUCUCUCUAGAUAUGUACUCAGACAUAUCAUAAUACAGAAUAUUAAAGAAAUACAAUCCAGUAAGAUGUUGUAUCUAGUUUUAUGCCCAAUAUGAUGCAGGAUAAACAUUUUAAAAUUAAGAAACAAACUGUAAUAAGUGCUUCGCAGAUAGAACCCCAAAGUAAUCUUUUCAUGUAUAAUUCAGUGCAGUUUAUUUAUUUGCUUGGCUAAGGAAUAUUUCAGCUAGAUACAAUAAGAUGGAAAACGUAGGAUGGAAACGUAUAUAUAUAAUGAUGUAGGAUUUUUAACAUGCUGGGUAAACAUAUACUAUAGUAGAGAUCAACAGCUAUAUAUUAAAUGACGUAACUUUUUUCAGGUGAGCAGGGUUCUUAUAGUCCAGUUCAUUCAAUACAAUUAUAAUUGAUGUUAACAGAAAAUGUAAAUUGGAAAAGAUGUUAAUUUACUGUUGGCAAAACUGUAUUCUAAUUGAAAUAUCUCAUCCUAGUGCAAUAAUUAAAAUGUUGGCAUACAAAAAUGAUUAUUAUGACCUUAAAAACAAAUUAUUUGACCUGUAUAAUGAUGGUACUUCUUUUAAAUACACUCAGUAGGAUCUUUCCUCACUGAUUUGCACAGCAUGGUGGAGACAAAAGAAAAUAAAGGUCAGAGCCAAAAGACA